rnacentral:rRNA from 1 species
CAGCCGCCACGGGAAUACGUAGGUGGCAAGCGUUGUCCGGAAUUAUUGGGCGUAAAGGGCUCGCAGGCGGUUUCUUAAGUCUGAUGUGAAAGCCCCCGGCUCAACCGGGGAGGGUCAUUGGAAACUGGGAAACUUGAGUGCAGAAGAGGAGAGUGGAAUUCCACGUGUAGCGGUGAAAUGCGUAGAGAUGUGGAGGAACACCAGUGGCGAAAGCGGGCUCCUGGACCCCACCUGACGCUGAGACGCGAAAGCCAGGGGAGCGAACGGGAUUAGAUACCCCCGUAGUCCCUGUCUCUUAUAA